UACAGAGGUCUCAAGCGUUAGGCGGAAUCACUGGGCUUAAAGCGUGUGUAGGCGGAUCGGUAAGUACCUUGUGAAAUCCCACAGCUUAACUGUGGAACUGCUUGGUAUACUGCCAGUCUUGAGCCAGCUAGGGGCUACCGGAACAAAUGGUGGAGCGGUGAAAUGCGUAGAUAUCAUUUGGAACGCCAAUGGUGAAAACAGGUAGCUGGGGCUGUGCUGACGCUGAGACACGAAAGCCAGGGGAGCAAACGGG
rnacentral:rRNA from 1 species